rnacentral:rRNA from 1 species
AUUGAACGCUAGCGGCAGGCUUAACACAUGCAAGUCGAACGAGUGGCGGACGGGUGAGUAAUGUCUGGGAACCUGCCUGAUGGAGGGGGAUAACUACUGGAAACGGUAGCUAAUACCGCAUACCCUUGGAUGUGCCCAUAUGGGAUUAGCUAGUGGGUGGGGUAAAGGCUCACCAAGGCGACGAUCCGUAGCUGGUUUGAGAGGAUGACCAGCCACACUGGAACUGAGACACGGCCCAGACUCCUACGGGAGGCAGCAGUGGGGAAUAUUGCACAAUGGGCGCAAGCCUGAUGCAGCCAUGCCGCGUGUAUGAAGAAGGCCUUCGGGUUGUAAAGUACUUUCGGCGGGGAGGCGUUACCCGCAGAAGAAGCACCGGCUAACUCCGUGCCAGCAGCCGCGGUAAUUC